AUUCAGCUGAUGAGUUCCAAAUGGGACGAAACAUGCGUCCUGGAU
rnacentral:hammerhead_ribozyme from 1 species